UACGGGGGGGGCAAGCGUUGUUCGGAAUUACUGGGCGUAAAGGGCUCGUAGGCGGCCAACUAAGUCAGACGUGAAAUCCCCAGGCUCAACCUGGGAACUGCGACUGAUACUGGAUGGCUUGAAUUCGGGAGAGGGAUGCAGAAUUCCAGGUGUAGCGGUGAAAUGCGUAGAUAUCUGGAGGAAUACCGGUGGCGAAGGCGGCAUCCUGGACCGACAUUGACGCUGAUGAGCGAAAGCUAGGGGAGCAAACGGG
rnacentral:rRNA from 1 species